UCCAGAACUAAUGGAUGGCCACCGGAUGCCACAAGAGGAAAUCAGGAUCACUAGAUGAGACCUCUUAGCUCCAGUCCAAGAGGCCCUUUGCUGAUUCCAACCGCAACAUCCAACAUCGGCCACUAAUUCAGCCAGCUGAUGGAGUCUUGCUCUGUCACCAGGUUGGAGUGCAGUGGCACGAUCUCAGCUCA